rnacentral:rRNA from 1 species
GAUGAACGCUGGCGGCGUGCCUAAUACAUGCAAGUCGAGCGAACAGACGAGGAGCUUGCUCCUCUGACGUUAGCGGCGGACGGGUGAGUAACACGUGGAUAACCUACCUAUAAGACUGGGAUAACUUCGGGAAACCGGAGCUAAUACCGGAUAAUAUAUUGAACCGCAUGGUUCAAUAGUGAAAGACGGUUUUGCUGUCACUUAUAGAUGGAUCCGCGCCGCAUUAGCUAGUUGGUAAGGUAACGGCUUACCAAGGCAACGAUGCGUAGCCGACCUGAGAGGGGGGAUCGCCCCCCCGGAACCUGAGCACCGUUCCAGCCUCCACCGGGAGGCGGCGUUAGGGAAUCUUCCGCAUGGGGCGAAACCCUGCCGGGGCAACGCCGCGUGGUUGAUGAAGGCCUUCGGUCCGUAAACCUCUUUUAUGAGGGAAAACCAAAUUUGUAAGUAACUAUGCCCGUCUGGCCGUUACCAAUUCAGAAGGCCCCGCCAACUUCCUG